AUGAACGCUAGCUACAGGCUUAACACAUGCAAGUCGAGGGGCAGCAUGGUCUUAGCUUGCUAAGGCCGAUGGCGACCGGCGCACGGGUGAGUAACACGUAUCCAACCUGCCGUCUACUCUUGGACAGCCUUCUGAAAGGAAGAUUAAUACAAGAUGGCAUCAUGAGUCCGCAUGUUCACAUGAUUAAAGGUAUUCCGGUAGACGAUGGGGAUGCGUUCCAUUAGAUAGUAGGCGGGGUAACGGCCCACCUAGUCUUCGAUGGAUAGGGGUUCUGAGAGGAAGGUCCCCCACAUUGGAACUGAGACACGGUCCAAACUCCUACGGGAGGCAGCAGUGAGGAAUAUUGGUCAAUGGGCGAGAGCCUGAACCAGCCAAGUAGCGUGAAGGAUGACUGCCCUAUGGGUUGUAAACUUCUUUUAUAAAGGAAUAAAGUCGGGUAUGGAUACCCGUUUGCAUGUACUUUAUGAAUAAGGAUCGGCUAACUCCGUGCCAGCAGCCGCGGUAAUACGGAGGAUCCGAGCGUUAUCCGGAUUUAUUGGGUUUAAAGGGAGCGUAGAUGGAUGUUUAAGUCAGUUGUGAAAGUUUGCGGCUCAACCGUAAAAUUGCAGUUGAUACUGGAUAUCUUGAGUGCAGUUGAGGCAGGCGGAAUUCGUGGUGUAGCGGUGAAAUGCUUAGAUAUCACGAAGAACUCCGAUUGCGAAGGCAGCCUGCUAAGCUGCAACUGACAUUGAGGCUCGAAAGUGUGGGUAUCAAACAGGAUUAGAUACCCUGGUAGUCCACACGGUAAACGAUGAAUACUCGCUGUUUGCGAUAUACUGCAAGCGGCCAAGCGAAAGCGUUAAGUAUUCCACCUGGGGAGUACGCCGGCAACGGUGAAACUCAAAGGAAUUGACGGGGGCCCGCACAAGCGGAGGAACAUGUGGUUUAAUUCGAUGAUACGCGAGGAACCUUACCCGGGCUUAAAUUGCAGAUGAAUUACGGUGAAAGCCGUAAGCCGCAAGGCAUCUGUGAAGGUGCUGCAUGGUUGUCGUCAGCUCGUGCCGUGAGGUGUCGGCUUAAGUGCCAUAACGAGCGCAACCCUUGCUGCCAGUUACUAACAGGUCAUGCUGAGGACUCUGGCAGGACUGCCAUCGUAAGAUGCGAGGAAGGUGGGGAUGACGUCAAAUCAGCACGGCCCUUACGUCCGGGGCUACACACGUGUUACAAUGGGGGGUACAGAGGGCCGCUACCACGCGAGUGGAUGCCAAUCCCCAAAACCUCUCUCAGUUCGGACUGGAGUCUGCAACCCGACUCCACGAAGCUGGAUUCGCUAGUAAUCGCGCAUCAGCCACGGCGCGGUGAAUACGUUCCCGGGCCUUGUACACACCGCCCGUCAAGCCAUGGGAGCCGGGGGUACCUGAAGUGCGUAACCGCGAGGAGCGCCCUAGGGUAAAACUGGUGACUGGGGCU
rnacentral:rRNA from 1 species